UACAGAGGGAGCAAGCGUUGUUCGGAAUUACUGGGCGUAAAGGGCGCGUAGGCGGUUCGAUAAGUCCCGUGUGAAAUCCCUCGGCUCAACUGAGGAAUUGCACGGGAAACUGACGGGCUUGAGUUCGGGAGAGGGAAGCGGAAUUCCCCAAGUAGAGGUGAAGUUCGUAGAUAUGGGGAGGAACACCGGUGGCGAAGGCGGCCAUCUGGACGAUUACUGACGCUGAGACGCGAAAGCGUGGGGAGCAAACAGG
rnacentral:rRNA from 1 species